ncrna:unclassified sequences IS605-orfB-I RNA
GCUGUAUAAAGAUGUAGCGAACGCAAGACAGUUCCGCAUCUCCCUUUACGGCGACGAACUCUUUAGAAGUCUUGGAAACAAUAUCCGUUGCGUGGCUGCGUGUCGAAACGGGUUGAUUCAGGAUGGAGUAGGUUCGCCGUAUGACCUUGGUUGAAAAACCUAAAGAUAAUCUUACAAUAUCACAAGGUUUACUUUGUGUAUGUUGGUAAGUUGCGGUUCC